GUUCUUUCCUGGCCUGGCAGUCAAAACAGUAGGGCGCUUCAGCAUUUUUGUUCUAUGUCCGGGAGCCACAGAAUCCUCCAGGUUUCACCUCCACUCUGAAAUCAAGAAAGAUCCCUACUGAAGCUGCUGCUUAAGGCCGGGGCUCCUUCUCGACUCUGGUAAGCUCAUAGCACUUCACACAGCUGGCAUGAAGGACUCACAAAUGGCUGGGUGUUUAGCCACCACACAACAGAAAUGAAAGGUUCCCCAAGUCCUGGUGCGAGCUUCACAUUGAGUCACAUGCAAGAACAUCAGAAUUCCCUGUGUCUCCAAUAUUAUCUUGUGUUAGUUUUGUUGUUGUUGUUUGUUUGCUUGUUUUUUGUUUUCGUUUUGUUUUGUUUUGUUUUUUUAACUAACCGAAACCUGGUGGAACCUGUACCUGCUUUUAUCACCAAAAAUUAAAAAUUCAGAGCAUUUUCUUCUAUAAA